AUCACGUAGAUCCCAACCAAAGAUACUCGCCACUUGUUUUAGAGCUUCUCUCCAUCUUGACACCAUCUGAGAGUCUUGUCGGAAUCUUUGUUCAUGUUUGGCAAAAGCUUCAGAAUAAAUCCCACUUUGCUUUCGAACCUCAGAAGGAUCAACAUCAUAGAAAACAAGAAGAACAUGUUUUUCAGAUUCCUCAAUGCAUUCACAAAUCUUCUCUAAUUCUUGCAAGCACCAUGUCGAGGAAGCAUAAUUUCUUGAGAAGACGGCAACAAAAACAUGAGAUCCUUGGAUUGCUCGAAGAAGCUCAGGCCCUAUGGAUUCACCUUUUUGAAGAUUUGUAUCAUCCCGAAAUACAAAAAUACCUUUUGUUUCAAAGGCAUCAAAAAGAAAAUCAAUGAAAUUGUUGCGAGUGUCUUCACCUCUGAAAGUGAC
rnacentral:pre_miRNA from 1 species